rnacentral:rRNA from 1 species
UUUGAUGGCGACCGGCGCACGGGUGAGUAACACGUAUCCAACCUGCCGAUGACUCGGGGAUAGCCUUUCGAAAGAAAGAUUAAUACCCGAUGGCAUAGUUCUUCCGCAUGGUAGAACUAUUAAAGAAUUUCGGUCGUCGAUGGGGAUGCGUUCCAUUAGGUUGUUGGCGGGGUAACGGCCCACCAAGCCUUCGAUGGAUAGGGGUUCUGAGAGGAAGGUCCCCCACAUUGGAACUGAGACACGGUCCAA